rnacentral:rRNA from 1 species
AACGAACGCUGGCGGCGUGGAUUAGGCAUGCAAGUCGAACGUGAAAGAGGGAGCAAUCCCUCGAGUAAAGUGGCGAACGGGUGAGUAACACGUGAGCAACCUGCCUCAGAGAAGGGGAUAACACUCCCAACGGGGUGCUAAUACCGUAUGAGACCACGGGGUCGCAUGACCCUGAGGUCAAAGGUGGCCUCUGUUUACAAGCUACCGCUCUGAGAUGGGCUCGCGCCUGAUUAGCUAGUUGGUAGGGUAAUGGCCUACCAAGGCUACGAUGGGUAGCUGGUCUGAGAGGAUGAUCAGCCAAACUGGAACUGAGACACGGUCCAGAAUCCUACGGGAGGCAGCAGUGGGGAAUUUUGCGCAAUGGGCGAAAGCCUGACGCAGCAACGCCGCGUGAGUGAUGAAGGCCUUCGGGUCGUAAAGCUCUGUCAGAGGAGAAGAACCUCCUGGGGGAUAAUAACCCUCAGGCCUGACGGUACCCUCAAAGGAAGCACCGGCUAACUCCGUGCCAGCCGCCGCGGUAAUAC